UGAGGAUGUCUCAUAAUUGUUCCCAUAAGGUCCCAGAGUAAGAGUAAGCUCUACAAUGGCCCAACCUGGCAUGCAAGCUGUUCUGCCAACUGGACCAUGUGAUUCAGAAGACCUGAAGCUUGUUCUUGCUCUCCCCAUUUUACAUCUUGACUGCCUGCCCUGAGGACUUCCAGCUCCAGCAUCAGAUGCAGUGACAAUACCCUUACAGAGACUAGUAUUCAACCAGCAACCACAACUGCAUAAGGCAAGUUGAAGGGGGAGUGAGGAGUAACCAGGGAAAAGAAGCAGAUGAGGACACCAUUUACAAGGAUGCCUUGCCCUGGGAAUCCUCCCCACAGGAGUAAGAAGGGAGCUACCCUUUACAUAGCAUGUCUGAAGAGUAGUUCCCAAAUACUUGUUCUUGGACAUGGCAGAGCUGGAUGCCCAAGAAUCUCCUGGGAAACAUUAAUUACAAAAACCAAGCAAAACAGAACCCCUGGCUCCACAUUGAUUUGGAGGGGGUAAGAUGGGAUGCACCAAGGGUGUGGGUGGUAACCACUGAUAUGGAAAGCAUUGGUUUGCAUUGGUAGUUAGAUCAUUUGGGCUUUCUGGCAAUUCCCUGUUGUGUGACCUCAAGCAAAUCAAUCAAUUCCUCUGAGCUUCACGUUGAUUAUUUAGAAAGUGAUGAUGCUAUCAAUAAGUCCCACAUUAAAGAGUUAUCAUGAGAAUCAAAUGAGAUUAGGUAUGCAAAAGCACUUAUCAAUCUGUGAGUUGCCCUCCAAUUUUGGCUAAGCUUAGAUAUUUCAAUCCUAGCAAUAUUUGUGCUAAGUGGUGUGGGAGAUUAAAAAAAGAAUCAGAAUCUAGUUUGGGAGAAGUUUUCAACCUAACUGGAGAGAAAAGGUAUAAAUGAAAUGGUAUGCAUACUAAGCCACUAAAAAGCAUUUUCAGUGUGCACCAUGGGCUCUGCACUAGGGUAGAUUAUGUGGGUGAUUGAGAAGUAUAGUAUACAACAUGGAUACUCUUCCGAAAGGGCUCCCAGUUUUGGUGGAGAAAAGAGACUCCUCUAUAACAGCAAAUAACAAAAAGAUAAUAUAAUCAAAGUAACUGCUAAAUGUUAUGGUACAGCCUCUAAAAGGUUACUAAGGGAAGUUCUGAAGAAAGAACAAUAGGAAUUGCUGUAGUCCAGGAAAGGAGAGAACUUUAGCUGGGUCUAGAAGUUAAAACAGCAAAAGGAACAGAAAUAGGCUCAUUUGUCAGGGGAACAGCAAAAGCCAAGCAUAGAGGCAGGAAUGAUCAGGGUGUAUGCAGUACCAGAAAGGAGAUCAAACUGGCUAGAAUGGUGGGACAGAUUACA